UAUUGUCAGACUGUGUCUCCGCGUCCUGUGUUUUCCCCUCCUCUCGUGUCCUUAUUUGGAGUUCCUGUCCGUGUCAUAGUUUAUGUCAUCAUUAGUUAAUUCGUUUCCAGUCCUGUGUCUUUAAUUAUCUCGUUUUCCCCAGUGUACUUAAGUCCUGUGUUCCCUCGAGUCUUUGUGCUGUCUUAAAUGUCAAUCGUUCAUGUCAAGAGGUGUAUGUUUAAAGUUAUAGUUAAUAAAAUCAUUUGUUUCCACGUACCAACGUCUCCGCGUUACCCUGGAGUGGCAGUGUGACAUAUAUAUAUAUAUAUAUACAACAGAAAUAUAUUAAAUGAAUUAAACUAUAAAUUUAAAUGAUCAUAAACAAACAAAUAUAUAUUAUAAAGAUAGACCGAGAAACAAUAAAUGCAUUAAACUAUACAUUACAAUUAUAGCAAAUUAAUGAAUCAAUAAAUGAAAAACUUCAAAUAAUGAAUAAAACACAAAUAUAACAAAUACAUUAAAUUAUAAAUUAAAAUGCUCCAUCGGGACAAGACCACGGGAAUCAGAUAAGCCCAGUGUAGUCUACAAUGAUACGUACAAGCCGUAUACCCACUAGGAAAGGUCAAGGAUUUGCGUAUAUUCACUUAAAAAAGCGCGCGGAUACGUAACAACAUCGUUUUGUGACAGACAUUUCACACGUUCAUUCAUAAAUUCACCCAAUCUGUGUUGCAAGCACCUUCUUUUUGAUAAUCACGCCGUGUUUCUGUUGAGGACUUUUGCUAUUGUGCAACUCUGGCGCAGCACUGAGUGCGCAAACUUGAAAUUAACUAAUGUGAAUCACUAAAGGAAAUAUGAAACGAACAACACCCUUUCAGUGUUUUUGUAAAGCCUGCCCUUGAAGCUGCUGCUGCUGAUAAGGUUGAUACUAUCCUACGCGGUACAGAAAACGAGGCCGAUGCCGUAACCUUACAACAAGUCCUCCAACUCAUACGACCGUAAAGUAGGGAUGGCUGACGCGAAGCUGAUGUUUCGACACAGUGUCAAGAUCCCGAAGCGCAGAUGUUUCGAAACACUGCUCCGAAGCGUGAUUCGAAACACCCAUGUCACGUGACUAAGGCGAUUCGAAACAUCGGGGCGUGUCACAACUGUUUCGAGACGUGGCAUACCUGCCGAAUCAGCGUUUGAUUGACAGGGUCGGGAACAAAUCACACAAUCGCACAUCUGUCUCAACCUUACUCUCACAAAGUAUAAAAAUGAAGUUAACGCAUCUUCACUUCGUGGGUUUUUGUGAGAGGAGAAAGAUUUUGCGAUAUAGUGAUAUUUAUAGUGUAAUCUUGUUAAUUAUAUUUAGGCUAGAUGAAAAGUUAUUAAGAUAUUGAUAGAUAUAGGCUAUAGACAUUGACAGAUAAUUAGGAUAAAUAUACUGAUACAUUCAUAUAGGCAUACAUAUACAUUAAUAUAAGUUAGAUAGUGACAAGCACAGCAAGUUAGAGAUAGGAUAUCAUAGGCUAAUUGAUACAUAGAUUAUUUAAUAUUGAUAGAUUACAUAAUAAUGGAAGCUCCAUGCAAGAGAUGCCGUGCAUCUGUGGUGUGGGAGCAUUUCCAUUUGGAAACACAAAAUAAAGUGAGAUGUAUGUAUUGUGAUAGGCAGCUAGCCAAUACAUCAUCCAUGAUGGGCCAUUUGAGGAGCACUCAUCCUGCCCUUUUUGGGGGGUGCAGAGGAUGGUAACAUCGUCCCUGUACCUAGGCCUGCUAUUGACACUGCUAGGCCAUCUAAGCAAGGCAUACAUUGUAUGAAAUCUAAUUCAGAUCACAAAGUGUUGAGACACUGUUUAGAAAAUCCAUAUUUUUAAAUAAAAAUCUUUAUAUGUAAAAAAAAAGAAAAAAAAAAGAAGUCAGACAUUGUGGCUUGAUGUCUUUUAUUAAUGUUCAUUUUUCAUGACCAAAAUAACAUUUAUUCAUAAAGAGUUCAUUCAGAUGUCAGACCGAUGUUUCAACACAUUAGAAUAGCAGAACAAUAAAAACACAAAUUCUAAAUGCUUAUUAUAAUUUUAUGAAUUACUGCUUCACCCGGGAUUCGAAACCAGGGUGACAGCAUUCCAGUUAUGAACACUAACCACUCGGUGAACCGACUAACACAACAUAGGUUAUAAUUCGUAUAUUCGCCUAACUGCUUCUCUGUCGAAACUGUUUCAGAGCAAUACUUGAAAAUGACCACUAGGUGUCACCGUAGAGACGGGUGUCGAAUUGCUUCGAAGCCUCACAUUUGCUUCGACUGUUUCAGUGGGUGUUUCUCAAACGGAAGGCUGCAUGCAUCCUACAAGGUUGCAUAUCUCGGCUGUCACGUCAUCAAACGUCGCUGAAGGCCAUCUCAAUCGGAAGGAUCAUAGACAUAAUAAAUACCUAGACGCCUCAUUGGCCGCUCGACUGCACGUCAACGUCGCCGCCAUAUUGGUGCGGGCAACUCUCCAUAAAUCUCAUACCGGGACAGAAGAAAACAUACCUGACUCGUCGGCAGCUUGAGCAUCUACAGACCGUCUCACAUUAAUAAAAACAGAUCUCGGGGUAUUAUCUUUCACAGCUAAAAAGGAAGAGCAAAGGAAGGCCUGUCGAACUCUUGUCUUGUCUUGUUUGUGGAGAGGGAUGAAUUUGGCCAUCUUGUGUGUUUAUGGAGAAGACCAAAAGCUGCAAAGGCAAACAUUUCCAAUGAAAGAAAAAAUACACAUCAGAUGAUGAGCCUCAUGAUACCCCCCACAAAAAAGAGAAAGCUCCACCUGCACCAAAAGCUCUUAACACCCCUAAAACGCAUCAAGACAAAAGCAUUUGUUAAUCGCCACCAAAGGGCCAUGGAAAAGCCACAGCAGGCCUGUUCUGAGACUUUCCUCAGCUGUCAAGCUCCAGAUGUUCCCAUGAGCUUCUCUCAGGCAGACGCGCCUCAAGAUGCUUGGGGUGAUCACUCACCUAACAUUCAAGGUAAAAAAAGCAUUAAUUAGUAUUUAGUAAAAGAAAUCAAAAGGACAAUUACUGCAAACACGAGCCUCGCACUAGGUAAUUCAGCAUUUUCUGUUCAAUCCAUCAGUAAGUAAGCUGUAUGUCUCAUAGGGCUGUGCAAUUAAUCGCAUGCGAUUAUCAUUCACACCUCGUCAGUAAAGACGGUUCUGUGAUUGGCACUAAAUCACCAUCACCUGUUUUCAAAUGGAGCGGCAGUUAAUACACAGAGCCUUAAGCCCUAUUCGGACUGGAUUAGUUUCACAAGGGUAGAUGGAGUAAUGUUAAUUUACCACAUGAUGUCUGUGAUAUUAAUGGCCAAUUCGCACUGGAUAAGAAAUCUCAGUAAAACUACCAGAAGAGGGAGGAGUAACUCGAUUUACACACUGCCGUCACCU